rnacentral:rRNA from 1 species
UACGUAUGGUGCAAGCGUUAUCCGGAAUGACUGGGUGUAAAGGGAGCGUAGACGGUUGUUCAAGUCUGAUGUGAAAGCCCUCGGCUUAACUGGGGGAGUGCAUUGGAAACUGAAGGACUAGAGUAUCGGAGAGGCAAGUGGAAUUCCUAGUGUAGCGGUGAAAUGCGUAGAUAUCACGCAGAACCCCGAUUGCGAAGGCAGCAUGCCGGCUUCCUACUGACGCUGAAGCACGAAAGCGUGGGGAUCGAACAGG